AACACAAAGAGGGUGACUCCAAUCUGUUGCUUCUACCACCCCCUGGUUUGGGUUAUUGAAUAUGGAAGAUCAUACGAUUAAUUGCCAGAAUCUGUGAACCGUAAUGAACUCUUUCAGUGGCUGAGUUCUACUACCGUACCCAGCCCUCAUGAUUGGUGACCCAUCGAUGAGGAAGGACUGGGUGUGGGGACAGGGUCUCACUCUGUUGUCCAGGCUGAUCUCAAACUCCUGGCCUCAAGCAAUCCUCCUGCUUCCUUGUCCUCUGGAGUCACUGGAAUUACAGAUGUGAACCACCUCAACCAGCUAAAGAAACUGCCUUUAUUGCAUUAAGAAAAGAAGCCAGAAGGUGGUGAGAAGCAAAUGGAAAGGAUGGAAGAGAGGAGAGACGAAGCAACGCCCAUCGAGACAGCAGACAGGGCUAAGUGGAUCUACACAGAGAAGCACUUAACCUCACCUUCACAUAUUUCUAGACAAAGCUCGGAGAAAAAGAAUCAAGUGAGUCCACAGCAUUGUCGCUAAAUGCGGGGCAUAGGAGGGCCUGCUCACAGCAAUGGAAACGACAGCAAGGUGGAAGAGACAGCCACAGAUUUUAUCUAACUAUUCACACUCAAAUGAAAAACGUAAGGGAAUAAGCAGAAGAGGGAGGUGCAAUUAUUUUGUCUAAAGGCCAGCUCAACUUCUGGGGCUGAGGCCAGUCAGCUGGGACCUAUGAGGGAUAAGCAUGUUUCGUGAGGCUAAAUGAAAGCCAACUAGCUGCAGUAGAUUUUGCUCAGGUCACAGUGAAAUACAAUACGUUGUUGACCGUUACCAGUGAUUGUUCUAUAGGAAGGACUCGUUGCUGGUGAAUCGUUUUAAUAGUUUGUGCAUCUCUUUUCAGGGAGUUCCUCAAAUUUCCUGGGGGCUACAAAAAGAAUAAAAAACAAAGAUUAAUACCAUC